GUGGGGAAUAUUGGACAAUGGGCGCAAGCCUGAUCCAGCCAUGCCGCGUGAGUGAUGAAGGCCUUAGGGUUGUAAAGCUCUUUCAGUGGGGACGAUAAUGACGGUACCCACAGAAGAAGCCCCGGCUAACUUCGUGCCAGCAGCCGCGGUAAUACGAAGGGGGCUAGCGUUGUUCGGCUUUACUGGGCGUAAAGCGCACGUAGGCGGAUCGUUAAGUCGGGGGUGAAAUCCUGGAGCUCACCUCCAGAACUGCCUUCGAUACUGGCGAUGUUGAGUCCGGAAGAGGUGAGUGGAACUCCUAGUGUAGAGGUGGAAUUCGUAGAUAUUAGGAAGAACACCAGUGGCGAAGGCGGCUCACUGGUCCGGUACUGACGCUGAGGUGCGAAAGCGUGGGGAGCAAACAGGAUUAGAUACCCGUGUAGUCC
rnacentral:rRNA from 1 species